rnacentral:rRNA from 1 species
GAUGAACGCUGGCGGCGUGCCAAAUACAUGCAAGUCGAGCGAACGGACGAGAAGCUUGCUUCUCUGAUGUUAGCGGCGGACGGGUGAGUAACACGUGGAUAACCUACCUAUAAGACUGGGAUAACUUCGGGAAACCGGAGCUAAUACCGGAUAAUAUUUUGAACCGCAUGGUUCAAAAGUGAAAGACGGUCUUGCUGUCACUUAUAGAUGGAUCCGCGCUGCAUUAGCUAGUUGGUAAGGUAACGGCUUACCAAGGCAACGAUGCAUAGCCGACCUGAGAGGGUGAUCGGCCACACUGGAACUGAGACACGGUCCAGACUCCUACGGGAGGCAGCAGUAGGGAAUCUUCCGCAAUGGGCGAAAGCCUGACGGAGCAACGCCGCGUGAGUGAUGAAGGUCUUCGGAUCGUAAAACUCUGUUAUUAGGGAAGAACAUAUGUGUAAGUAACUGUGCACAUCUUGACGGUACCUAAUCAGAAAGCCACGGCUAACUACGUG